rnacentral:rRNA from 1 species
AUUGAACGCUGGCGGCAGGCUUAACACAUGCAAGUCGAGCGAGCGGCGGACGGGUGAGUUAUGUCUGGGAAACUCCCUGAUGGAGGGGGAUAACCACUGGAAACGGUAGCUAAUACCGCAUACCAUCAGAUGUGCCCAGAUGGGAUUAGCUAGUAGGUGGGGUAAUGGCUCACCUAGGCGACGAUCCCUAGCUGGUCUGAGAGGAUGACCAGCCACACUGGAACUGAGACACGGUCCAGACUCCUACGGGAGGCAGCAGUGGGGAAUAUUGCGCAAUGGGCGAAAGCCUGAUGCAGCCAUGCCGCGUGUGUGAAGAAGGUCUUCGGGUUGUAAAGCACUUUCAGCGGGGAGGCGUUACUCGCAGAAGAAGCACCGGCUAACUCCGUGCCAGCAGCCGCGGUAAUAC